GACCCUGAGGACGAAGGAAGGCCCU
rnacentral:piRNA from 1 species